AUGGAGAACCUGAUCUCGCUUGUCAAUAAGCUGCAACGCGCCUGCACGGCGCUCGGCGACCACGGAGAGGAGAGCGCCCUCCCCACCCUCUGGGACUCGCUACUGUCCAUUGCCGUCGUCGGAGGCCAGAGUGGUUCAAGCGCAUCUCAGUACAAGUGGGUAUACAAUUACCAGAUGCGGUUCUGUAUUUUGACAUUUGAACUCCUUUGGCACACUGUAGAGUUCGGGCAAAUCUUCAGUGCUGGAGAGCAUUGUUGGAAAGGAUUUCCUGCCCAGGGUUCAGGCAUUGUCACCCGUCGCCCACUGGUUCUGCAACUCCAUAGGAUUGAUGGGGACAGGGAGUAUGCAGAGUUCAUGCAUGUCCCCAGGAAGAGAUUCACCGAUUUCGGUAAUUCCUCUAUUCUUUGUCUUAUUUCCAAGUGCUAUGUUGCUGAUGAUAUUAAGAUUGAUGCAUGA
rnacentral:rRNA from 1 species